AUCUCUGGAUAGCUCAGUUGGUUAGAGCCUAGUGCUGAUAACACCAAGGUUGUGGGUUUGAUCCCCGUAUGGGACA